rnacentral:misc_RNA from 1 species
ACAAAUAAAGCUUUAAGAUAAAGAAUGCUAAUUUAAUUAACAACAAAAUAAACGUAUGUUCACUACAUCAAAUGUUGAUAAUCUCUAGGGUAUUACAGUAACAAAAAUAUACGACUUAAUUUCACUCACUAUUCUUGAACUAUAAUUCUUACAACACUACCAUUCCUAAUUUUCAAUUUGUUAUUGUUUGCACUAAAAUAAUUAAUUUUAUAUAUUAAUUACUUUUAUGCCUAAAAUUAAUUAAAUUAGUUUUACAAAUUUUAUUUCAUUAGUUUAAUUAGUGAAAAGCCUGAGAUAAAUUAGUAUAUAAAUGUUGAAAAUGAAUAUCAAAAGGGAGUUAGCAGAGAGUAGUUUAUGAGAAGUUAAGGAAAGUUACCAAAUAGUGCCAUGUAACUCCCAUCAACUACAAAAUAUGAUCUUCCAGACUUUUUCAAUUACCUGCAAUGAGAACUAUAAAUGUGAGAUGAGCAACAACGUGAAAAUGCUCAAUCAACCUAACAAUAAACAACCAAUCAAACCAAUAAAUAAAUCAACAACAAUCCAAGCACUUUAGCAGUCCAAUUAAUCUAAAACUCUAAUAGUCGAUCUGUCUUUUACAUUUAUUGUCAAUUUCAAUUCCAAGCAAUCUUUACUUUCCAAGCUAUUGCAUUUUAAUUUUCAAGCCUUAUAAUUUCCUUCAGUAAUUAAUAUAAUCUGACUUUUCAUUUCAAUUAUCUUUCAUACUCACAUUUGUAGACCCCAAUUUUUUUUUUUAAUCUUUAUAGAUCCUACACAUCUGAGGUAGUGAAGAGCUCAAUGAUAAAAGUUUCAAACCGCUUCAAAGAUGCUAAAGGUACUGAAGAAAUGUUCAUGAGAUGUUCUACAUAUUAAAAAUAAAAAUUAAUUAGGUUUACAGAGGAAAAAAAAAAGAUAGGAAAAAUUAUUAUUUAAUCCCUGAAUUUUAACAAAACUAACUACUUGG